rnacentral:rRNA from 1 species
UACAGAGGUGGCAAGCGUUGUUCGGAAUUACUGGGCGUAAAGGGCGCGUAGGUGGCCUUCUUAGUCAGACGUGAAAUCCCCGGGCUUAACUCGGGAACUGCGUCUGAUACUGGAUGGCUCGAGUUCGGGAGAGGAAUGUGGAAUUCCAGGUGUAGCGGUGAAAUGCGUAGAUAUCGAGAGGAACACCUGCGGCGAAGGCGGGUUGCUGGGCCGACACUGACGCUGAGGCGCGAAAGCCAGGGGAGCGAACGGG